ACGAACGCUGGCGGCGUGCUUAACUCAUGCAAGUCGAACGGAAAGGCCCCUUUGGGGGUCCUCGAGUGGCGAACGGGUGAGUAACACGUGAGUAACCUGCCCUUGACUUCGGGAUAACUUCAGGAAACUGGGGCUAAUACCGGAUAGGAAUCCUUGCUGCAUGGUGGGGGUUGGAAAGCUUCGGCGGUUUUGGAUGGACUCGCGGCUUAUCAGCUUGUUGGUGGGGUAGUGGCUUACCAAGGCUUUGACGGGUAGCCGGCCUGAGAGGGCGACCGGCCACAUUGGGACUGAGAUACGGCCCAGACUCCUACGGGAGGCAGCAGUGGGGAAGAUUGCACAAUGGGCGGAAGCCUGAUGCAGCAACGCCGCGUGCGGGAUGACGGCCUUCGGGUUGUAAACCGCUUUCAGCAGGGGCGAAGCUUGUGGUGACGGUACCUGCAGAAGAAGCACCGGCUAACUACGUG
rnacentral:rRNA from 1 species